rnacentral:tRNA from 1 species
GCCCCGCCAGGCGGGAUUGCCCGCUGACUCUUAAUCAGCGGGUUGAAGGUUCGAGUCCUUCGGGGGGCA